GUAGCGCUGUCGUCACAUCCGCUGCGUUCCGAGCGAAGCACCUGCAGGCGGCGCUCCUCUCGCCGAGCCUGCGACAAUCUCUCUCUUUUCUCUUUUCUUUUCUUUUUCUUUAUCCCCCCCCCCCCCGCUGACCUUGCGCAGAUCUUCCCAGCCUAGGCGCGGUUUCGGUCGGCGGCUGCAGCGGGUUCAAGGGCGGAAGGCCGUCCACGCGUUUCUCCCUCACCCCCUCCUCAAAGGGUGAGCGGGCCGAGAGGCAGCCACCGGCGCAGUCAUGCUGGCUUUCCAGAGGGGGCUGCGGUUGCUGAAUGGGACCGUGAGGAGCCAGAUCCUCCCAAGGGCAAAGAUGUCCACCAAGUCAGGAAAGAACAGCUUCUUGGAAAAUGCCAUUGGAUUCACAGUGAUUUUUACUGGCGGCUUUUUCCCAAUUUGUUGGGUUAUGGGCAAUCUGGACAGUUACUCUAAAUGAGAAGAAAAAGCUUUGGGAACAUGGUCACGAAGAAGAAAAUAUCAAUGUUUGUUAUUCCCAGAGGCUUUCAUUAUUAAAACUAAAAUUUAAAAAUUCACAA